AACGAACGCUGGCGGCAUGCCUAACACAUGCAAGUCGAACGAGACCUUCGGGUCUAGUGGCGCACGGGUGCGUAACGCGUGGGAAUCUACCCUCAGGUUCGGAAUAACUCAGAGAAAUUUGAGCUAAUACCGGAUGAUGACGUAAGUCCAAAGAUUUAUCGCCUGAGGAUGAGCCCGCGUAGGAUUAGGUAGUUGGUGAGGUAAAGGCUCACCAAGCCGACGAUCCUUAGCUGGUCUGAGAGGAUGAUCAGCCACACUGGGACUGAGACACGGCCCAGACUCCUACGGGAAGCAGCAGUGGGGAAUAUUGGACAAUGGGCGAAAGCCUGAUCCAGCAAUGCCGCGUGAGUGAUGAAGGCCUUAGGGUUGUAAAGCUCUUUUACCCGGGAUGAUAAUGACAGUACCGGGAGAAUAAGCUCCGGCUAACUCCGUG
rnacentral:rRNA from 1 species